rnacentral:rRNA from 1 species
GCGGGGGAGGAAGCUUGCUUUCUCCUGCCGGCGACCGGCGCACGGGUGAGUAACACGUAUGCAACCUGGCCGUCACAGGUGGAUAACCGGAAGAAAUUCCGACUAAUACAGCAUAGCACUCCUGAGGGACAUCCUUCGGGAGUCAAAGGAGGCGACUCCGGUGACGGAUGGGCAUGCGGCGCAUUAGGUAGUUGGUAGGGUAACGGCCUACCAAGCCGACGAUGCGUAGGGGUUCUGAGAGGAAGGUCCCCCACAUUGGAACUGAGACACGGUCCAAACUCCUACGGGAGGCAGCAGUGAGGAAUAUUGGUCAAUGGCCGGAAGGCUGAACCAGCCAAGUCGCGUGAGGGAAUAAGGCCCUAUGGGUCGUAAACCUCUUUUGUCAGGGAGCAAAGGCGUCCACGUGUGGACGAGAGGAGAGUACCUGAAGAAAAAGCAUCGGCUAACUCCGUGCCAGCAGCCGCGGUAAUACGGAGGAUGCGAGCGUUAUCCGGAUUUAUUGGGUUUAAAGGGUGCGUAGGCGGAGUGUCAAGUCAGCGGUAAAAUUUCGGGGCUCAACCCCGUCGUGCCGUUGAAACUGACGCCCUUGAGUGAGUGAGAAGUAAGCGGAAUGCGUGGUGUAGCGGUGAAAUGCAUAGAUAUCACGCAGAACGCCGAUUGCGAAGGCAGCUUACCGGCGCUCAACUGACGCUGAGGCACGAAAGUGCGGGUAUCGA